AAUCUACUCCCUCCGUUCGGAAUUACUUGUCUCGGAAAUGGAUGUAUCUAGAACUAAAAUACAUCUAGAUACAUCCAAUUCUACGACAAGUAAUUCCGAACGGAGGAAGUACAUC
rfam:Triticum aestivum genome assembly, contig: Triticum_aestivum_CS42_TGACv1_scaffold_328921_4BS